UCAGCCUUGGUCUCAUCUUUGCACGGAUAGGCAAACUGAUCUUUCAUGCAGUAAUUUUAACUAAGUAUUACUUGCACAAUCCAAAUCAGUUAGAGAGGCUUCACCUCUUCUCUCCUGGUGGGUUCCCCCAGAGGGCUGUUCAUGGGCAGGAGCAAUGUGCUGGCUGAAUGUGUCUGUCCUUCUCUGCUGAUUACUGGUAGAGUUUCAUUGUUUUCCUAAAUCAAGGUGCACAAAAGGUUUAAAAUUUGAUUCUUUGAGGGGAUGUAAGCUCUCCCAGAUGUUGCUUUGUGGGUCUGAGCUCCUCCAGAUGGUCAGGCUGUUUGUGUUCCCUGGGUACCUCACCAGAUUCUUCACGCGCAGUCUGUGCAAUUCUUGCAAAAAGGCUUCCUGGGAUGUGGACCCUGGCACUUCCAGUGCUUUCUCUCUUUAUUGCAGAAUCCAAAGAUGUCUCAGUAUUUAAAAAUUUACCUCCAAUCUGUGUCAGCUGUGCAAAGGCAGGAUUGAUUUUCCUGUUGCCCACUGCUGUCAGGGCCCUGUAACAGUUGCUUUGUAUCCUCUGCAAUUAGCUCAAGCCUGAAUCCUGAAUGAGUGAUGGAGGAUAACACUUGUAAUUUGAUCAUUUAAGAGAAAAAAAAAGCUACAAGGCAGAGAGGACUGUUACUUGGUUAACAAACUGAUCUCAGGGUUAAGGCUUUUUUUUUUUAGUCUUUAAAUUUUUAUUUGGAUAGUUACAUAAAUGCUUAAUUUCAACAGUAUGGAGUUCCUCAUGGAACCAGAAUCUAUAGGUGGAACCAGAAUCUUAAGUGGUGCUUAAGACUGGAGAAAGUCUAGAGGAAUUCUUACUAUAACGAUAUUGCUUAAAAUCAAGGAAUUCCUUUCCUGCAUGCUGAAUUGUUCCCAUUCAUAGUGGAGGACAGGACUGCAUGAUCAUAUCCAGCUUGCAGGCUUGUCCUCUUUCUCCCUGAAAUGCUUUAUUACAGAACUCAAUUAAGAGCAAAUUUCCCCUCAAACUCUGUCUUCCAAGGUCAUGUCUGCCUUUAUGAAAUAUUGAAUCUGCAGCUGCAGGAUUUAUUACAACAGUAUUUUAAAGCACGUGAUGCUGGUGCAGCAGCUCUCAUUAGAAAUGCCCUGAGCUCACUGUGCAGGCCAAGUGUUGUUUCCAAACUGCAGCAUCCACAUCGAGAAGCAAGUUUGUACAUGUUGGAAGGACAGACAGAGAUACCUGUGGGAAAAACUGGAGUCUGCUGAGAAGUGCUGCUAUGCUGUGAUUUCUCACUCCUUUAGUUUGAGCCAGACUUUUGUCUGGGUGGCAUUACUGAGUUGCAGCAGUUUAGUGCAGAGGGAAGACCCGGGCUAAAACCUUCAGCUUUGUGCUACAGUGUGACCAGUUGGGUACUUUGCCACAGUGGCCAGUAAGAAGCAAUUGAAAUGGAGUGUGGACUGAUGCUGGAUGUUUGUUGCAGUAAGGAUCCCCUUUUGAGGAAGUCCAGCAGGAAGAGAUUCAGGAGGUGAAUACACCAGAAGAGUUCUGUCGUACACUACAAAUUGCCCACUGCUGUAGCAGACAGCCUGUGUUGAUCACACCCGAAGAACAUCUCCUUGAAUAUGAAACAUGGCAGCCCACUGUAGGAGGGCUCAGGAUUGACACUGCUGUCCUGCAGGGAUAAUGAGGAAUUUACCAAAGCAGAGCAACAGAUGCCUUGAGAGAUGUUCCCACAAGGAUGCAUGCUGUUCCCAGUGGUUCUAUGAAUGCUGCUGUGCACCCCACCCAAAGCCCCACUGAGGAGGGUCCCUGCUGAUGUGGGGGGCCAUGGCUUCACCUCCUGUGCUCCUGAGCACUUUGUGCUGCUGGCUUUGCUUCUCUACCUGCUGUUUAUAGUAAGCACUCAUCACAGAUGUAAGCUCAUUAAUCACCCCAAGCCACGCUUCCCUGAUUCCAUUUAUAGCUCUGUUCCCUCUCUAUUCCUUUUCACAGCCCCCACCUUAGUCACCACUCAAUUCUUGGACUCUGGGCUUUGCUUUUAUUUAAGCUUGGAAUGGAUAAAGCAUGAAAAAAGAGGGAAAUUUGGAAAGGCAGACUAAUAUCACACAAAGUGUAUGUAGGAUACAUUUAGUGUUAGACUAAAGUAUAUUGGCAGAAGACUGGCAGCAAAGCUAUUGCAUUAAGUGAAAUAGAGACCAUUUACCCUCAGAGGUUAACAAGCACAGGACAGACAAACAGGAGCCCUGUCACCCUCUUGGGAUUUCUUGUGUCCUGCCAGCAGCCCAGAUUGCUUUACUGCCCUCAGCACUGGUCAGUCCAGUGCUGACCUUGGCCACCAGCCUGGCUGGGAGUCCCAUGGGCAGCCCACAGGAGGAGGGGAAGGGUCAUGAAAUGUAAAACUCUCUGCAGAGGUAUUUGGGUGCCCAAACAUACACAGAGGCACUUCUUGGCCUUUCAAAAGUGUGGUGGAUUGAGCACCUCUUCCCCCUCUUUCCCCACUGACCUUGGUGUCUGCAGAGCUGUUCCUGUCACUCCUCUCUUCUCUGGCUGCAGUUAUGUCUGCCCAAUAACUGGUUUUCUUCCUUCUCACAAAUGUUGCCACAGAGGCAUUGCUGUCACUCUUGAUUGUCCCAGCUUUGGCCAGCAGCAGGUCUGUCUUGGAGCUGGCUGGCAUUGGCCCUGUUGGAUGUGGGGGAAGCUUCCAGCAGCUUCCUACAGAAACCACCCCUGCAGCCCCCCAUCCUAUCAGCACCUUGCCAUGCAAACCAAAUACACUAAGGUCUCUGGGAGAUUGGAGGGAGAGAGGAGGAAAAUUCCCAUUUCAGGGAUUGUCUGAAGAGCCUGACCCACUUGGAGGCCUUGGGAAACCUCAUGGGGAGCCUCUCUUCAUGUCUAGGUUUCUAAACACCUUGGCAAAUCUGCUGCAAAGUAGUUCUUACUUCUGUUGAGCAGUUUCUGCCUGCCCAAGGCUGGGAGCAGAGUCAGCAGAGUGCUCCUGGCUGUGUGAAGCUGCUGCCCUGACAGUGCAGUGUGAGGGUUGUACAGAUCCCAGGGAUGGCAAAUGACUCUCCAGCAGCAUGUUCUGGCUGACAGGGGUUUGGAAUAGGUCUGUCAACAGCAGCUGGAGAGAGCUCUGGUCCUGGAAAACAAUGUGUCAGCUGCCUGGGUUGGGCUGAAUUCUUUAAUGCUUUGUCUGAACCUAAAGUGUAGCAGUGUUGCUUUGGGAUGAGCUGUGCUGCCACAUGCUGCAGUCCUGCUGGUUUGGAGCAUGGACCUGCCUGUCCAUGCCCAGGAGGGGCUGCCAAAGAUGGACUGGCUUGCAGUGCUGGUCAAAAGCUGCACAGACCUGCAAGUCUCUUGUAUUUAUGUAAUUUUGUCAGUCUCUUUCCACAUCUGAAUUUUAAACAUCCGUUACAAGGCAAUGCUGCUUUAGUGGUGAGCCAAGUUUCUCUUCUAAAACACGUGUUCCCUAAAGCCCUUGUCCUUUAUUGCCUUUGUUCUGAUUUAUUGCUCUUGCCUUACCACAUGUGUGAAGCACAGUGGAGGAAAAACUACCAAACCCAAUAAAGCAGUCCUCUCUUCCCUCUUCCCAGCCCACAUGUAUCAGGAUUAACACCCUGAAUAAUUUACAUCAAGUGAUUCAACAGUGAACUAACUUCUCUCUAAUUUCUUACCUGCUUCAUGUAAAUAUGCUGAUGAAGAGGAUGUUGAUAAUGUGAGGAUUAUGGUAAACCCAGAAAAAGCUACUAUGGAGUACUGAAAAAAUGGGGUAGACACUAAAUCUAGAGAAUGGUAGUGACAUUAAAAAAUAAAAAUUGUUGACUUUCAUUUAUAAAUAGGCAUUUUGUGGAUAUAAAUUUUUAUGUGACUCUUAUCAAUGGAACUAAAAGGGCCUUAUUUGUAAAAAACUCUCCCACAAAAAAUCUUUCUGUUAUCCCAGGGUAAGCAUAAAGCACCCGAGGCAUGCAAUUGCUAGUGAAAAACAACAACUGUGGAAAACUAAAAUAAAAGAAAUUGUGAAGCUUUUGUGGCUCUAUGAGAUAGAAAAGUUCUGUUGAAAUUUUUGUUUGGGAUACUUUUGAUGGGAAGCUUGUUGUCAUAUUCAGGCCUGUUAUCUGUAUUAGUUAACAAAUGCAAGCAUUCAAAAGCCUGCUUAGAGGCAUAUUUGUCUUCUUUUUCUUUCUUAUUUUCCUUUUCAAUUUUUUUCCUCCUUUC